UGGGGAAUAUUGGACAAUGGGCGCAAGCCUGAUCCAGCCAUGCCGCGUGGAUGAUGAAGGCCCUAGGGUUGUAAAGUCCUUUCGGACGGGACGUAGGGCGAAUAGCGCUGACUGAUGACGGUACCGUAAUAAGAAGCACCGGCUAACUAC
rnacentral:rRNA from 1 species